UAGAGUUUGAUCAUGGCUCAGGACGAACGCUGGCGGCGUGCUUAACACAUGCAAGUCGAACGGUAAGGCCCUUCGGGGUACACGAGUGGCGAACGGGUGAGUAACACGUGGGUGAUCUGCCCUGCACUUCGGGAUAAGCCCGGGAAACUGGGUCUAAUACCGGAUAGGACUGCGCGGUGCAUGCCGUGUGGUGGAAAGAUUUAUCGGUGCAGGAUGGGCCCGCGGCCUAUCAGCUUGUUGGUGGGGUAAUGGCCUACCAAGGCGACGACGGGUAGCCGGCCUGAGAGGGCGACCGGCCACACUGGGACUGAGACACGGCCCAGACUCCUACGGGAGGCAGCAGUGGGGAAUAUUGCACAAUGGGCGCAAGCCUGAUGCAGCGACGCCGCGUGAGGGAUGACGGCCUUCGGGUUGUAAACCUCUUUCAGCAGGGACGAAGCGUGAGUGA
rnacentral:rRNA from 1 species